rnacentral:rRNA from 1 species
GAUGAACGCUGGCGGCGUGCCUAACACAUGCAAGUCGAACGGAGAUUACGGACGGAAGUUUUCGGAUGGAAGACUGUAAUUCUUAGUGGCGGACGGGUGAGUAACGCGUGGGCAACCUGCCCUAUACAGGGGGAUAGCAGCUGGAAACGGCUGGUAAGACCGCAUAAGUCGGUUAAAUCGCAUGAUUUGAUCGGGAAAUGAGCAAUCAGGUAUAGGAUGGGCCCGCGUCCGAUUAGCCAGUUGGCAGGGUAAAAGCCUACCAAAGCGACGAUCGGUAGCCGGACUGAGAGGUCGGACGGCCACAUUGGGACUGAGACACGGCCCAAACUCCUACGGGAGGCAGCAGUGGGGGAUAUUGCACAAUAGAGGAAACUCUGAUGCAGCGACGCCGCGUGAGUGAAGAAGUAUUUCGGUAUGUAAAGCUCUAUCAGCAGGGAAGAUGAUGACGGUACCUGACUAAGAAGCCCCGGCUAACUACGUG